UACACAAACACACACACAAGCUUUGAAAUUCAAAGAAUGGAAAUCAAGUUUGCACUUCUCACAUGAUGUGGAACAUAACCUUGACAUUGUGUCUAAAUAUAACCUUGACAUUGUGUCUAUUUAGUCCCUUCUUAAGCACUUUAGUUAUCUACAUCUGAAUGUUCGCAUUAUAUCACAUGAAAUGGAGGACAUACUGACAUACUACUAAUGUGCACU